CAGUAGCCGCGGUAAUACGAAGGGUGCAAGCGUUACUAGGAAUUACUGGGCGUAAAGCGUGCGUAGGUGGUGGUUUAAGUCCGUUGUGAAAGCCCUGGGCUCAACCUGGGAAUUGCAGUGGAUACUGGGUCACUAGAGUGUGGUAGAGGAUAGUGGAAUUUCCGGUGUAGCAGUGAAAUGCGUAGAGAUCGGAAGGAACAUCUGUGGCGAAGGCGACUAUCUGGGCCAACACUGACACUGAGGCACGAAAGCGUGGGGAGCAAACAGGAUUAGAUACCCCUGUAGUCCCUGUCUCUUAUAC
rnacentral:rRNA from 1 species